rnacentral:rRNA from 1 species
CAGCAUGGUCUUAGCUUGCUAAGGCCGAUGGCGACCGGCGCACGGGUGAGUAACACGUAUCCCACCUGCCGUCUACUCUUGGACAGCCUUCUGAAAGGAAGAUUAAUACAAGAUGGCAUCAUGAGUCCGCAUGUUCACAUGAUUAAAGGUAUUCCGGUAGACGAUGGGGAUGCGUUCCAUUAGAUAGUAGGCGGGGUAACGGCCCACCUAGUCUUCGAUGGAUAGGGGUUCUGAGAGGAAGGUCCCCCACAUUGGAACUGAGACACGGUCCAAACUCCUACGGGAGGCAGCAGUGAGGAAUAUUGGUCAAUGGGCGCAGGCCUGAACCAGCCAAGUAGCGUGAAGGAUGACUGCCCUAUGGGUUGUAAACUUCUUUUAUAAAGGAAUAAAGUCGGGUAUGUAUACCCGUUUGCAUGUACUUUAUGAAUAAGGAUCGGCUAACUCCGUGCCAGCAGCCGCGGUAAUACGGAGGAUCCGAGCGUUAUCCGGAUUUAUUGGGUUUAAAGGGAGCGUAGAUGGAUGUUUAAGUCAGUUGUGAAAGUUUGCGGCUCAACCGUAAAAUUGCAGUUGAUACUGGAUAUCUUGAGUGCAGUUGAGGCAGGCGGAAUUCGUGGUGUAGCGGUGAAAUGCUUAGAUAUCACGAAGAACUCCGAUUG